GAAGUUGAAAGGUCGGCUGUGACAUCUCUCACCNGUGAUUACCAGAGUUAAUCUGACUGAGUGGCUGUGUGUUCCCUUCCUCCCCCAUUGCUCCGCAGGCAUCCUUCCCAAAGCUCUGUGCUCUGUGGAAGAGGAUGGUGACCUUCCAGGGUGGAGGAGGGCCUUUCUUCAGGNNNN
rnacentral:snRNA from 1 species